UUUGCCAUUUUAUUUCCCAAUUUAUCCCUAGACUGUGUGAGGCGAUGGAAAGGGCAGCUUCUAUGUGGGCAUGAGCAGAUGCAAGGAAAUACAUCCGUCAUCUCUGGCAGGCCACACCGAGUUCCUGUGACAUGUGCUGAACACACUGCCUUGCAACCCUGUUGUGUGUAUCCUGAAUGGUGAAUAUCCUGACUUCCCAUUUAAAAAAAAAUCUCUAAUCCCAUGAAAUAAACAAAGUCAGUCAAACUUCCUCUGAUAUGAACAUCUUAAACUAAAAUGAAGACAUCAACAGAACACCACUGGGAAGGAGAACGCUAUUUUAAAAGCCCAGUUCUGCUUCUUUCCUAUAGGCCAGAAGAGGGCACCAGACCUCAUUACAGAUGGUUGUGAGCUCUGGAAAUUGAACUCAGGACCUUUGGAAGAUCAGACAAUGCUCUUAACCUCUGAGCCAUCUCUCCAGCCCUGUAACUUCAUUUUUAAUACAGUGAGAUCAACGACCAAUUCCACCAGCUUGAAGGACACCACAGAAGCAUCACAUUCUGCUCACUGGAAGGGUGUGAGGGAUGUAACAUCAUAAGACUACAUGCAAAAGUUUUAGAUUGACCUGCAAAACAUCCUCAGCGAGGCCACGACUGUGCGCCUCGCUACAAUCCGAGACACUCAAGAAUGUGGGCCAUCUGCUUUCUUGGCGUGGUGGUGUGCACACAUUCGAGGUUUAAUAACUUCUUCAAGAUUGGUUACUGUUCGGUCUUGCGUUUUUAAAGCCUAGAAUGCAAAAUAUUGAUUCUUCUACAACACCCUGUGGGAAUUAAACACUGCACAGGAUAAUCUGAUUGAAGGUGAAGUUAAUUUUAACAAAUACUAAGUCAAAGAAUUGAGUUCAAAGGUAAAUUUGCUUUUUAAAAAUUAAUAUCAUAAUUUGUAAAUGCAUGGCUAAUUAAAUGAAAUUAAAGAUAUAAUUAACUUUUCAAAACAUAAUCAAAAUUCAUUAAAAGUAAUUUCCAUUAAUUCUCAUCUUCAAAUUAGCCUUCCGUAGCAUCACAGAGACACUUGAAGAGGUUUACAAAUGUUUCGGGUUUCCAUGUAAUAACACAAAACUCUAUCAGAUUCGGGGAUUCCUUUUUCAAAAAUGAAGCCUGUAUUACAAAACAAGUAAUCUAAAUAUAAAACAACCUA